rnacentral:rRNA from 1 species
GAUGAACGCUAGCGACAGGCCUAACACAUGCAAGUCGAGGGGCAUCGGGGUGUAGCAAUACGCUGCCGGCGACCGGCGGAUGGGUGAGUAACGCGUAUGCAACCUGCCUUCAGCAGGGGGAUAGCCCGUUGAAAGACGGAUUAAUACCCCGUAACACAGGGGCUCCGCAUGGAGAUUAUUGUUAAAGGGAUGCUUCCUUCGGGGAGUAUUCCGGCUGAAGAUGGGCAUGCGUUCCAUUAGGUAGUUGGUUGAGGUAACGGCUCACCAAGCCUGCGAUGGAUAGGGGAACUGAGAGGUUGGUCCCCCACACUGGUACUGAGACACGGACCAGACUCCUACGGGAGGCAGCAGUGAGGAAUCUUGGUCAAUGGACGGAAGUCUGAACCAGCCAUGUCGCGUGAAAGGGGACGGCCCUAAGGGUUGUAAACUUCUUUUGCAGGGGAAUAAAGUAUUCCACGAGAUGGGAUAUUGCAAGUACGCUGCGAAUAAGGAUCGGGCUAACUCCGUG